GGAGCGCUUGAUUUGACUAGGGACCUGUAUUAUCUUUGUGUUUUGCGAAUAAAAUUUUUCAAUUUAUGUCAGUUUUCAUUUGAGUUAAUUUUCAAACAGUGUAUUAGGUACCUUAUUAGACGUUUCAAAAAUGAACCGCUCCUACCUGGUUAAUUUUACUCUGCCAUGCAUGUACUGUAAU